CCUACGGGAGGCUGCAGUGAGGAAUAUUGGUCAAUGGACGCAAGUCUGAACCAGCCAUGCCGCGUGCAGGAAGACGGCUCUAUGAGUUGUAAACUGCUUUUGUACGAGGGUAAACGCAGAUACGCGUAUCUGUCUGAAAGUAUCGUACGAAUAAGGAUCGGCUAACUCCGUGCCAGCAGCCGCGGUAAUACGGAGGAUUCAAGCGUUAUCCGGAUUUAUUGGGUUUAAAGGGUGCGUAGGCGGUCGGAUAAGUUAGAGGUGAAAUCCCGGGGCUCAACUUCGGCCCGCCGUUGAAACUGGCAGUCGCGAGUUGGAGAGAAGUAUGCGGAAUGCGCGGUGUAGCGGUGAAAUGCAUAGAUAUCGCGCAGAACUCCGAUUGCGAAGGCAGCAUGCCGGCUCCACACUGACGCUGAGGCACGAAAGCGUGGGUAUCGAACAGGAUUAGAUACCCCAGUAGUC
rnacentral:rRNA from 1 species